GAUGAACGCUGGCGGCGUGCUUAACACAUGCAAGUCGAACGAAACACCUUAUUUGAUUUUCUUCGGAACUGAAGAUUUGGUGAUUGAGUGGCGGACGGGUGAGUAACGCGUGGGUAACCUGCCCUGUACAGGGGGAUAACAGUCAGAAAUGACUGCUAAUACCGCAUAAGACCACAGCACCGCAUGGUGCAGGGGUAAAAACUCCGGUGGUACAGGAUGGACCCGCGUCUGAUUAGCUGGUUGGUGAGGUAACGGCUCACCAAGGCGACGAUCAGUAGCCGGCUUGAGAGAGUGAACGGCCACAUUGGGACUGAGACACGGCCCAAACUCCUACGGGAGGCAGCAGUGGGGAAUAUUGCACAAUGGGGGAAACCCUGAAGCAGCGACGCCGCGUGAGUGAAGAAGUAUUUCGGUAUGUAAAGCUCUAUCAGCAGGGAAGAAAAUGGCGGUACCUGACUAAGAAGCCCCGGCUAACUACGUG
rnacentral:rRNA from 1 species